rnacentral:rRNA from 1 species
GGGUUGUGAGGUUAAGCGACUAAGCGUACACGGUGGAUGCCCUGGCAGUCAGAGGCGAUGAAGGACGUGCUAAUCUGCGAAAAGCGACGGUAAGGUGAUAUGAACCGCUACAGCCGUCGAUGUCCGAAUGGGGAAACCCAGUGUGUUUCGACACACUAUCGUUAACUGAAUACAUAGGUUAACGAGGCGAACCGGGGGAACUGAAACAUCUAAGUACCCCGAGGAAAAGAAAUCAACCGAGAUUCCCCCAGUAGCGGCGAGCGAACGGGGAGCAGCCCAGGACCUGAAUCAGCUUGUGCAUCAGUGGAAGCGUCUGGAAAGUCGCGCGAUACCGGGUGACAGCCCCGUACACGAAGAUGCAUAAGCUGUGAGUCCGACGAGUAGGGCGGGACACGUGGUAUCCUGUCUGAACAUGGGGGGACCAUCCUCCAAGGCUAAAUACUCCUGACUGACCGAUAGUGAACCAGUACCGUGAGGGAAAGGCGAAAAGAACCCCGGCGAGGGGAGUGAAACAGAACCUGAAACCGUGUACGUACAAGCAGUGGGAGCACCUUCGGGUGUGACUGCGUACCUUUUGUAUAAUGGGUCAGCGACUUAUAUUCUGUAGCAAGGUUAACCGCAUAGGGGAGCCGAAGGGAAACCGAGUCUUAAUUGGGCGUUAAGUUGCAGGGUAUAGACCCGAAACCCGGUGAUCUAGCCAUGGGCAGGUUGAAGGUUGGGUAACACUAACUGGAGGACCGAACCGACUAAUGUUGAAAAAUUAGCGGAUGACUUGUGGCUGGGGGUGAAAGGCCAAUCAAACCGGGAGAUAGCUGGUUCUCCCCGAAAGCUAUUUAGGUAGCGCCUCGUGAACUCAUCUCCGGGGGUAGAGCACUGUUUCGGCUAGGGGGCCAUCCCGGCUUACCAACCCGAUGCAAACUGCGAAUACCGGAGAAUGUUAUCACGGGAGACACACGGCGGGUGCUAACGUCCGUCGUGAAGAGGGAAACAACCCAGACCGCCAGCUAAGGUCCCAAAGUCAUGGUUAAGUGGGAAACGAUGUGGGAAGGCACAGACAGCCAGGAUGUUGGCUUAGAAGCAGCCAUCAUUUAAAGAAAGCGUAAUAGCUCACUGGUCGAGUCGGCCUGCGCGGAAGAUGUAACGGGGCUAAACCAUGCACCGAAGCUGCGGCAGCGACGCUUAUGCGUUGUUGGGUAGGGGAGCGUUCUGUAAGCCGCUGAAGGUGUGCUGUGAGGCACGCUGGAGGUAUCAGAAGUGCGAAUGCUGACAUAAGUAACGAUAAAGCGGGUGAAAAGCCCGCUCGCCGGAAGACCAAGGGUUCCUGUCCAACGUUAAUCGGGGCAGGGUGAGUCGACCCCUAAGGCGAGGCUGAAAAGCGUAGUCGAUGGGAAACAGGUUAAUAUUCCUGUACUUGGUGUUACUGCGAAGGGGGGACGGAGAAGGCUAGGUUAUCCGGGCGACGGUUGUCCCGGUUUAAGCGUGCAGGUGUGAAGACCAGGCAAAUCCGGUCUUCUUUAACACUGAGGCGUGAUGACGAGCCGCUACGGCGGUGAAGUAACUGAUGCCCUGCUUCCAGGAAAAGCCUCUAAGCUCCAGGUAACACGAAAUCGUACCCCAAACCGACACAGGUGGUCAGGUAGAGAAUACCAAGGCGCUUGAGAGAACUCGGGUGAAGGAACUAGGCAAAAUGGUGCCGUAACUUCGGGAGAAGGCACGCUGGCGCGUAGGUGAGGGGACUUGCUCCCGGAGCCGAGGCCAGUCGAAGAUACCAGCUGGCUGCAACUGUUUAUUAAAAACACAGCACUGUGCAAACACGAAAGUGGACGUAUACGGUGUGACGCCUGCCCGGUGCCGGAAGGUUAAUUGAUGGGGUUAUCCGCAAGGAGAAGCUCUUGAUCGAAGCCCCGGUAAACGGCGGCCGUAACUAUAACGGUCCUAAGGUAGCGAAAUUCCUUGUCGGGUAAGUUCCGACCUGCACGAAUGGCGUAAUGAUGGCCAGGCUGUCUCCACCCGAGACUCAGUGAAAUUGAAAUCGCUGUGAAGAUGCAGUGUACCCGCGGCAAGACGGAAAGACCCCGUGAACCUUUACUAUAGCUUGACACUGAACAUUGAGCCUUGAUGUGUAGGAUAGGUGGGAGGCUUUGAAGCGUGGACGCCAGUCUGCGUGGAGCCAACCUUGAAAUACCACCCUUUAAUGUUUGAUGUUCUAACGUAGGCCCGUGAUCCGGGCUGCGGACAGUGUCUGGUGGGUAGUUUGACUGGGGCGGUCUCCUCCCAAAGCGUAACGGAGGAGCACGAAGGUUGGCUAAUCCUGGUCGGACAUCAGGAGGUUAGUGCAAUGGCAUAAGCCAGCUUGACUGCGAGAGUGACGGCUCGAGCAGGUGCGAAAGCAGGUCAUAGUGAUCCGGUGGUUCUGAAUGGAAGGGCCAUCGCUCAACGGAUAAAAGGUACUCCGGGGAUAACAGGCUGAUACCGCCCAAGAGUUCAUAUCGACGGCGGUGUUUGGCACCUCGAUGUCGGCUCAUCACAUCCUGGGGCUGAAGUAGGUCCCAAGGGUACGGCUGUUCGCCGUUUAAAGUGGUACGCGAGCUGGGUUUAGAACGUCGUGAGACAGUUCGGUCCCUAUCUGCCGUGGGCGCUGGAGAAUUGAGGGGGGUUGCUCCUAGUACGAGAGGACCGGAGUGAACGCACCGCUGGUGUUCGGGUUGUCAUGCCAAUGGCACUGCCCGGUAGCUAAGUGCGGAAGAGAUAAGUGCUGAAAGCAUCUAAGCACGAAACUUGCCCCGAGAUGAGUUCUCCCUGACCCUUUAAGGGUCCUGAAGGGACGUUGAAGACGACGACGUUGAUAGGCCGGGUGUGUAAGCGCAGCGAUGCGUUGAGCUAACCGGUACUAAUGACCCGUGAGGCUUAACCUUACAACGCCAGAGGCGUUUUG